rnacentral:rRNA from 1 species
CACCUUCUGGAGAACCGCGAUGUCCUUAAUUGGAUGCCGCGGGGAACCAGGACCUUUACUUUGAAAAAAUUAGAGUGUUUAAAGCAGGCAUUUUUGCUUGAAUACAUUAGCAUGGAAUAAUAAAAUAGGACGGCAUGGUUCUAUUUUGUUGGUUUCUAGGACCACCGUAAUGAUUAAUAGGGAUAGUUGG